UACAGAGGGUGCAAACGUUGCUCGGAUUUACUGGGCGUAAAGCGCGUGUAGGCGGGUUCGCAAGUCGGUUGUGAAAUCCCUGGGCUCAACCCAGGAACUGCAUCCGAAACUGCUUACCUAGAGUAGUGGAGAGGAAAGUAGAAUUCCCGGUGUAGAGGUGAAAUUCGUAGAUAUCGGGAGGAAUACCAGUGGCGAAGGCG
rnacentral:rRNA from 1 species